AAGUCGUAACAAGGUUUCCGUAGGUGAACCUGCGGAAGGAUCAUUAACAAAUCAAAUUAUUGGUAUAGUGUUCUUGGCCUCGGCUUAUGCCGUCAAAGCCAAGCUCACUAUUACUAUACUAUGUGAACCAAUACAAGACUGGGAGCUGGCGAAAGCUGGAACCUAGUCUUGGGGUAGUUGCUUCCCAGUGGUUAACUAGUCUUCUAGACCAAGUGACUGCUAGGUGGCGACUACCAACCAUUAUUAUAAAACUAGUAAUAUAUUUUGUCGGCUAAUUAUAUUAUCGGUAGCUGCGCUAACGGUAGUUCUACCGUGUGCUUGGCUGCUGGUAUAAUAACUAAAACAACUUUUAACAAUGGAUCUCUUGGCUCUU
rnacentral:misc_RNA from 1 species